rfam:Pseudomonas batumici strain TCM B-321 Contig_64, whole genome shotgun sequence.
CUCUAUGGCGGACUGUGCGCGGGACAUCCCUUGGGGAUGUGCUGGGUCCUACUUUUCCCGGUUGUCCACCUGCGUACAGUUCGCCACCUUU